UACGGAGGGAGCUAGCGUUAUUCGGAAUUACUGGGCGUAAAGCGCACGUAGGCGGCUUUGUAAGUUAGAGGUGAAAGCCUGGAGCUCAACUCCAGAAUUGCCUUUAAGACUGCAUCGCUUGAAUCCAGGAGAGGUGAGUGGAAUUCCGAGUGUAGAGGUGAAAUUCGUAGAUAUUCGGAAGAACACCAGUGGCGAAGGCGGCUCACUGGACUGGUAUUGACGCUGAGGCGCGAAAGCGUGGGGAGCAAACAGG
rnacentral:rRNA from 1 species